GUCUGCCAGUUGUGACUCCCACUGUCAGAGAGCCCUCAUUGGGAAGUGAAUACUGAGAAGUUACCAGCUGGGCACAAUGGGCCAAAGUCCACUUGGGAAAAAUCCAGAAUAACUGCAAUGGUUUCUAUGGAGUUACUCCAGACUGACCACAGUCCAACUAGGAACAGAGUUUACCCCAGUUCCUUCACAAAGGAAAGUAUACAGAGCUUGCCUCAAUAGAAGUUUCGAGGAGUUGCAACACCUAUUCUUGCUUGAAAUCUUCAGCUAUGAUCAUCCUGCUGAUAUCCCGAUGUCUUUGGC